CUUUCCACAUGAGACCAUGAGAAUGAAUGUAUACCUAACUUGUUUGUUUACAGCUCUACAAAGUAGCUAGAUUUUAAUUUAAUUUAAUUCAUGAAAUCCAUUUUGAGCCUUGUCAUUCACCAUCAUUUUGUGAUUUGUCCCUCAGCCUUCUUCAUCUUGCUCGUUUGAUGGAAGUUUGAAAUCAGAGAGCAGUGACUCAGAGCCAAGAUGGCCAGAGGUUCCUCCUGUGCUUAACCAGAAUGAGGAUCGGAGAAGAAACAAGUACCUGAGAAAAGACUACCUGAAGUAUAAGUGCCAAAGUGCUCGAAGAAACUCCAGUGGCAACGACAAUGAUUGUGAGGAGGGAAUGCGAUCUAGUGAUUUUACCACAACUCUGACUGUAUUUGGCCUGAAACCCAGAUCAGGUAAAGUGUUAUCCCU
rnacentral:lncRNA from 1 species